rnacentral:tRNA from 1 species
GGUUGUGGCUCAGUGGUAGAGCACUUGCCUAGCACAUGUGAGGCACUGGGUUUGAAUCUCAGGACCA